UACGUAGGGUGCGAGCGUUAAUCGGAAUUACUGGGCGUAAAGCGUGCGCAGGCGGUUUCACAAGCUCGAUGUGAAAGCCCCGGGCUUAACCUGGGAAUGGCAUUGAGGACUGUGGAGCUCGAGUGCGGCAGAGGGAGGUGGAAUUCCACGUGUAGCAGUGAAAUGCGUAGAUAUCGGGAGGAACACCAGUGGCGAAGGGCGGCUAUCUGGGCUGGAACUGACGCUGAGGCGCGAAGGCUAGGGGAGCAAAGCAGGAUUGAGAAACCCUA
rnacentral:rRNA from 1 species